GAAGGCGUUAUCGGAUUACUGGGCGUAAGCGAGUGUAGGCGGCUAUGUAAGUCGGAUGUGAAAUCCCCGGGCUUAACCUGGGAAUUGCAUUCGAUACUGCAUGGCUAGAGUCUGAUAGAGGGAAGUGGAAUUCCAGGUGUGGCGGUGAAAUGCGUAGAUAUCUGGAGGAACACCAAUGGUUUUCGUCCAAAAAAAGGAUCAAGAG
rnacentral:rRNA from 1 species